AAUGAGUACCGGCCAUCGGUUCUUAUCAAGUUUAAUAUAUCUAAUAUAUGGGCCAUCGGUCCACACGAUAUUAACUCAAUUUUUUAAGGGGGAGGUCCAUUAAGAUAGCUCGCUAUCUGGGUCUUUGCGUGUCGUUGUUGCGUUGCACUACUGCUCGGGCCAGGCGCACCUCAC
rnacentral:snRNA from 1 species